AUGGCGGAGCUCAUCAUCUCGGCGGUUGUCGGGGACAUGGUCGGUAGGGUGAUAUCUCUUCUCGCUGGCCGGUUCAAAGGCCAAGGGUGCACCGACGCCAAGCUACGGAGGAUUUGCCAUAUGCUUGUCAAGGUUCACAGUGCGGUAGAGGAGGCCAAAGGGAGGCAGAUCACAAACUGUGGCACCCUCGAGUGGCUCUCGGAGCUCAACGACGGUGUGUACCAGGGCCGCUACUUGCUCGACACGGUCCAGUGCAGAGAUCAGGAGCUUGAAGAUGAGCAUGCUGACAAGGUAGUGGGACAGCCUUUCUCUUUAUCCUUGCUUAAUCCUGCAAAGCGUGUGCGCGUAGCGGCGUGUGCCGUGAAGAGCCUAUUGUCUCGCCAUGAUGUUGGUGUUGGUGAGGACAUGGAUAGAGUGGUAGAGAUCUUGGAAACCGUAUCUAGUGAUCUCAAGGAGUUCAUGAUGCUCCUACGCAACUGCCAGCCCAUCCAUCGUCCUUUGGCUACUAAUAUCUUUGUCGAGGGGCAGAUGUUUGGCCGACAUGUCGAGAAACAGAGGAUCAUCAACUUCCUGUUGCACGAUGGUGGUCCGUCAACUGGAGAAAAAGUGGGUGUGCUUCCCAUCGUCGGCGACAUAGGAGUCGGGAAGACCACCCUUGCUCAGCAUGUCUGCGAUGAUGAGAGGGUGCGCAGCCACUUUCCAAUAAUCUUAUAUUCCAAUCUCUUAUACACCAGGGCAAUGGCAAGGGGUGAGGCAGCGCUUGUUCUAGGAUCCAGACACACAGUUAGAGAUGCUAAAGAAUUCAUCGAGUCACUGCAUGUACUCAAGCAGAAAUACUUCACCAAGAGGUUCUUGAUGGUAUUUGAAGAUGUUGACGCGGACAAGAAGCAGUUGCUAGAAGAGAUACUGUUGAUCUUAAGACAUGGAAAACAUGGAAGCAGGAUCAUAAUCACCACAAACAGCAGGGCCAUUGCGGCGAGCAUGGGAACGGUGCAGCCAAUCAGUCUGAAGGUUAUGCCACACCAGGAGUAUUGGUUCUUCUUCAAAGCGCACGCGUUUGCCGGCAGAGAUGUCGAGGAGGACCCAAGGAUGCUAGCAGAAGGCAAAGCGAUUGCAAGGAAGCUAAAUGGAUCCUUCUUCGGAGCGAAAAUCAUCGGCGGGGUGCUGAAGGCUCAUCCGAAUCCUCAGUUCUGGCGCAGGGUGGUGAGAAGCAAUAUAGGGGGUUUAUCUCUGUUGGGCGAUGGAAUUGAGUACAUUGCAGAUUUGACAGAGAAUUUGCUACCGAUCGGCGCAGACAUGUGCAAGGUGACCAUUUCUAAGAGUCCAUAUCCCUCUCAGACGGAGCUGGCUAGGUUGGUAUAUCAGGCAAGUCCUAGUGCUGGUGUUGUUGCAUCGCGUGGUGAUAACGGGUUUGCAAGAGUCUUGUUGUGCAGGAAACUUGCGAACAUCACAAAGUUGCUAGAGGAAUUUAUCAUGGCGGAGGUCAUCUUCUCGGCGGUUGUCGGAGACAUGGUUGGCAGGAUGAUAUCUCUUCUUGCCGGCCAGUUCAAGGGCCAACAGUGCACCGAAGCCAAACUACGCAAGAUUUGCCAUAUGCUCGUCAAAGUUUAUAGUGCAGUAGAGGAGGCCAAAGGGAGGCAGAUCACAAACUACGGCACCCUCGAGUGGCUUUCGGAGCUCAACGACACAGUGUACCAGGGCCGCUACUUGCUCGACACGGUCGGAUGCAGAGAGCAGGAGCUUGAAGAUGAGCAUGCUGACAAGGUAGUUGCACAACCUUUCUCUUUCUCCUUGUUUAAUCCUGCAAAGCGCGUGCGCGUAGCAGCCUGUGCCAUGAAGAGAUUACUGUCUGGCCAUGAUGUUGGUGUUCCUGAGGCGAUAGAUCGAGUGGUAGAGAUCUUGGAAACCGUAUCCGGUGAUCUCAAGGAGUUCCUGAUGCUCCUACAGAACUGUCAGCCGAUCCAACGUCCUUUGGCUACUAAUAUCUUCGUCGAGGGGCAGAUGUUCGGUCGACAUGUCGAGAAAGAGAGGAUCAUCAACUUCCUACUCCACGAUGGUGGUCCGUCAACCGGAGGAAAACUGGGUGUGCUCCCGAUUGUGGGCGGCAUGGGAGUCGGUAAGACCACCCUCGCGCAGCAUGUCUGCGAUGAUGAGAGGGUGCGCAACCACUUUCCAAUAAUUGUGUAUUCCAAUUUCUCAUACACCAGAGCAAUGGCUCAGGAUGAGGCACCGUUUGUUCUAGGAUCCAAACACGCAGUUAGAGAUGCGCGAAAAUUCAUCGAGUCACUACAUGUACUUAAGGAGAAAUGCCUCACCAAGAGGUUCUUGAUGGUAUUUGAAGAUGUUGACACGGGCAAGAAGCAGAUGCUAGAAGAGUUACUGCCGAUCUUAAGACAUGGCAAACAUGGAAGCAGUAUCAUAAUCACCACAAACAGCAGGGCUGUCGCUGCGAGCAUGGGAACAGUGCAGCCGAUCAGUCUAAAGGUUAUGCCGCACCAGGAGUACUGGUUCUUCUUCAAGGCGCACGCGUUUGCUGGCAGAGAUGUCGAGGAGGACCCAAGGAUGCUAGCAGCAGGUAAGGUGAUUGCGAGGAAGCUAAAUGGGUCCUUCUUCGGAGCGAAAAUCAUCGGCGGUGUGCUGAAAGCUCAUCCGAAUCCCCGGUUCUGGAGCAAGGUGCUGAGGAGCAAUAUAGGGGGAUUAUUUCUGUUGGGUGAUGGAAUUGGGUACAUUAUGGAUUUGGCAGAGAAUUUGCUACCAAUCUACGCAGGCGUCUGUAAGGUGACCAUUUGUAGGAAUCCAUUUAUCUUUCAGACAGAACUGGCUAGGUUGGAGGAUCUGUAUCAGGCAAGUCCACUUGGUGAUAACCGGUUUGCAAAAGCUCUGUUGUGCAGGUCAAUGUUGCCAUUCGAACUCUUGAACUACGCUGCUGAUUGCAAUGUGCGUGGGCCGGACUAUUCAGCAGAGUUAUAA
rnacentral:rRNA from 1 species